rnacentral:tRNA from 1 species
UGGCUCAGUGGAAGAGUGCUUACCUUGCAUGCAUGAGGCCCUGGGUUCGAUUCCUAG